rnacentral:rRNA from 1 species
AGAGUUUGAUCCUGGCUCAGGAUGAACGCUGGCGGCGUGCCUAAUACAUGCAAGUCGAGCGAACGGACGAGAAGCUUGCUUCUCUGAUGUUAGCGGCGGACGGGUGAGUAACACGUGGAUAACCUACCUAUAAGACUGGGAUAACUUCGGGAAACCGGAGCUAAUACCGGAUAAUAUUUUGAACCGCAUGGUUCAAAAGUGAAAGACGGUCUUGCUGUCACUUAUAGAUGGAUCCGCGCUGCAUUAGCUAGUUGGUAAGGUAACGGCUUACCAAGGCAACGAUGCAUAGCCGACCUGAGAGGGUGAUCGGCCACACUGGAACUGAGACACGGUCCAGACUCCUACGGGAGGCAGCAGUAGGGAAUCUUCCGCAAUGGGCGAAAGCCUGACGGAGCAACGCCGCGUGAGUGAUGAAGGUCUUCGGAUCGUAAAACUCUGUUAUUAGGGAAGAACAUAUGUGUAAGUAACUGUGCACAUCUUGACGGUACCUAAUCAGAAAGCCACGGCUAACUACGUGCCAGCAGCCGCGGUAAUACGUAGGUGGCAAGCGUUAUCCGGAAUUAUUGGGCGUAAAGCGCGCGUAGGCGGUUUUUUAAGUCUGAUGUGAAAGCCCACGGCUCAACCGUGGAGGGUCAUUGGAAACUGGAAAACUUGAGUGCAGAAGAGGAAAGUGGAAUUCCAUGUGUAGCGGUGAAAUGCGCAGAGAUAUGGAGGAACACCAGUGGCGAAGGCGACUUUCUGGUCUGUAACUGACGCUGAUGUGCGAAAGCGUGGGGAUCAAACAGGAUUAGAUACCCUGGUAGUCCACGCCGUAAACGAUGAGUGCUAAGUGUUAGGGGGUUUCCGCCCCUUAGUGCUGCAGCUAACGCAUUAAGCACUCCGCCUGGGGAGUACGACCGCAAGGUUGAAACUCAAAGGAAUUGACGGGGACCCGCACAAGCGGUGGAGCAUGUGGUUUAAUUCGAAGCAACGCGAAGAACCUUACCAAAUCUUGACAUCCUUUGCCAACUCUAGAGAUAGAGCCUUCCCCUUCGGGGGACAAAGUGACAGGUGGUGCAUGGUUGUCGUCAGCUCGUGUCGUGAGAUGUUGGGUUAAGUCCCGCAACGAGCGCAACCCUUAAGCUUAGUUGCCAUCAUUAAGUUGGGCACUCUAAGUUGACUGCCGGUGACAAACCGGAGGAAGGUGGGGAUGACGUCAAAUCAUCAUGCCCCUUAUGAUUUGGGCUACACACGUGCUACAAUGGACAAUACAAAGGGCAGCGAAACCGCGAGGUCAAGCAAAUCCCAUAAAGUUGUUCUCAGUUCGGAUUGUAGUCUGCAACUCGACUACAUGAAGCUGGAAUCGCUAGUAAUCGUAGAUCAGCAUGCUACGGUGAAUACGUUCCCGGGUCUUGUACACACCGCCCGUCACACCACGAGAGUUUGUAACACCCGAAGCCGGUGGAGUAACCUUUUAGGAGCUAGCCGUCGAAGGUGGGACAAAUGAUUGGGGUGAAGUCGUAACAAGGUAGCCGUAUCGGAAGGUGCGGCUGGAUCACCU